UACGAAGGGGGCUAGCGUUGUUCGGAAUUACUGGGCGUAAAGCGCGCGCAGGCGGUCCUUUAAGUCAGGGGUGAAAGCCCAGAGCUCAACUCCAGAACUGCCUUUGAUACUGAGGAUCUUGAGUUCGGGAGAGGUGAGUGGAACUGCGAGUGUAGAGGUGAAAUUCGUAGAUAUUCGCAAGAACACCAGUGGCGAAGGCGGCUCACUGGCCCGAUACUGACGCUGAGGCACGAAAGCGUGGGGAGCAAACAGG
rnacentral:rRNA from 1 species